rnacentral:rRNA from 1 species
AACGAACGCUGGCGGCAUGCCUAACACAUGCAAGUCGAACGAGACCUUCGGGUCUAGUGGCGCACGGGUGCGUAACGCGUGGGAACCUGCCCUUAGGUUCGGAAUAACUCCCCGAAAUGGGUGCUAAUACCGGAUAAUGUCUUCGGACCAAAGAUUUAUCGCCUUUGGAUGGGCCCGCGUUGGUUUAGCUAGUUGGUAGUGUAAAAGCCUACCAAGGCGACGAUCGAUAGCUGGUCUGAGAGGAUGAUCAGCCACACUGGGACUGAGACACGGCCCAGACUCCUACGGGAAGCAGCAGUAGCGAAUAUUAGACAAUGGGCGAAAGCCUGAUCCAGCAAUGCCUCGUGAGUCAUUAAUGCCUUAGAGUUAUAAAACUCUUUUAACCGCCAUCAUAAUGACAGUACCCGAAAAAUAAGCCCCGGCUAACUCCGUG